rnacentral:lncRNA from 1 species
AGAAAAAAAUGAAAAAACUUAGGGCCUGUUCUCUUUAUCGUUUUCGGGCCGUUUUCUAUUUUCGAUUUUUCAAAAUGAUGAAAAUGCGUUCUCUUUCCCAUUUUCAAAAAUGAAUUUUCGAAAACAAAAAAAAAAAUUGUGAAGAAAACUCAAAACGAUGUUUUGGACGUUUUGAGUGUUUUCAGUACAAAACACGCUCAAGACUGAAAACACGGGAAACAACCAAAUUAAAAACCAACCCUUACCUCUCUCUCACAAUCUCACAUAUCGUCUCUCUCUCCCCCGUAAGUUUCUGCCUCUCGUUCUCUAGGGUUUGCUUUGCCAGCCUCACUCAAUUCUUCAACUCCCACGAAUGGUUGCGCUCCUUGGUUCGGCUCCUCCGAUUGACUGGGAAAUUGCGUGAAGAGGUGAAAAUUUCUCAUAUUUUCACCGAAGGGUUCUUGAAAAUUCCUGUAAAAAUUCCUUGCACCGAAUCUUUUAAAUCUCAACUUUACAAUCGCAACUCAUGGUCAGUGUAGGCUAGGUAAUUUGGUGUUUUUCCUGUUUAUAUUUUAGGUAUUCUCUGUUUGAAUGAUUACGUUACUCGACCUCUUUGAAUUCCAUAGUUCAUACGGUGAUUAGGGUGCUUGCAUUUGUUUAUUUUUUCUGGUAGUAAGUAGAGAAUAUAGCUUAUUUACGAGCCCCUGUUUGGUGCAUAUUUAAAUUCAAUUAAAUUUUGUUUUUAAUUAAUUACAGACAACAGGGAAAAGAAAAUGGAAUUGAUUGUCUUCAUGGGUUUGUGAUGGUUUUCCUCCAUAUAGAUUCUUUAACGUGGUAUAACUUGGGUGUAAGAGUUAUUCGCCAGGCCUCAUUAUUUCAAUUUCCAUCAAUAUAAGUUGUUUUCAUUUUCGUUGGUAAAAUUUCAUUUUUGUUGGUGAUUGUUUUCAUUAAAUUGAUUGUUUAAUGACAAUUGUCAUUACAGCAUUAUUAUCCUUUCUCCGCCUCUCUUUAUGUUCUUUAAGUGCCUGUGUAAGUGGCAUGUUGCUCAAUGUAUCCCCAGUAACAACUAACAAGGACGAAAUGCCACUUGUCUUCAAACUGAAAAUGUAUAUACCAAGUUAGCUUGUCAUUAUCUUAGAGAUAGCAAAAAUAGUAAGCAUUAACAGAAAAUGGCAUCACCAUUCAAAAGAAGCUCAUAUAAAAAAUAAAAUGCACAUCUGCAAUCAAAAGAGCUGAUAGCCUUAUAAGUUAUGAGCAUGAUGAGAACUAAGAUAACAUCAUCUUAUAAUACUUUCCAUUUUUCAUAGUCAUGACAAAUAGCAUUAGCAUAGACGUGGUUUCUUUCCAUAUCAUGAUAUCAAAAUCCCAGGAUUGGUUAUUAUUCCAUGCUUUCUCACUGGAGCAGUUAUAAUGAGGCCAAAUUACUAGAACUAAGUCUUGAUAAUCUGAUGUCGUGCUAGGCCUACCAUUUUAUAUAAAAAUAUCCCCAACUGUUCUCUCCUAAUUGCAAUGAUCUCUUUGAAUUUAAUUGGUUGAGCAUGUGAUAAUAUUAUCCCCUUAAUUGCAAUACUUUAUUAGAUCCAUGGAUGUAUAUACAUUUGUUGUUUACUUUUAUUUUUCGUAAAUGUGUCUAUGAGCAUGUGUCAGUAGCUUGUUUCUAAAUAUGGUCAAGAAAUGCGAGAAGAAGCAAUUAUUAUUUUUAGUUUGCUUCUUACUUAGAAAUAAACUAAGCCAUAUGUGCUCUGUGGAACAUUUGGUAGUACUAUGUUGAACUUGAAUGUUUUUAAUUUUCCUUCUCUCUUCAAUUUAAUUGGUUGAGGAUGUCUUUAUGGUCCAGGUGAGCUUCAAGCCUAUGCUCACUCAGUCAUUAGAAAAGUGACAUCUGAUGGGAUCAUAAUUUCUUGUUAUCUCGCUGUCAUAUGAUUGGCUUUAAUUUUAUGCUACUGCUGAAUUUUGUGAAAUUUUUUGGUUAGGUUCAGACCCUCACACUACCAUUUUAGAGAACUCAUCUAUGUAUGUAUUGCUUCUUUUGACUGGAGUUGCAGUGGAAUUUGCAAGUCAAUAGAGAAUAUCAAAUUUGCACAACCAGAUUGUGAAUGGAAUGCACAAGUUAUGGAGCCACGACAUGUUUUGCACACAUUCUUUUGCAUUAGAAUAGAGGGGAUGUUCGCAUAAAAUAAAAAUAAAAAUAAAAAUUG